UGCAGCCGGGGCAGCAGCGGGGCCCUGUCGCCUGAAAUCCGCUAUAGCAGGGGUGAUGCCGAUCCGAGGGCAGACUUUGAUGGAGCCGCCCCCUUCAAGUGGCGCUGACGUCCGGGUCUUGCGCAACGGAAAUCUGUGAACCGUGUCAGGAUGGGAACAUAGCAGCACUAAGCAGAAGCUUUCGUGUGACGCAAGGGUGCCUGGGCCGAGUUAACUGGAGGGGUUCCGUCUGUUGGAGUCUGUUCGGAGUGAGGCGCACGG
rnacentral:SRP_RNA from 1 species